GGACGAGCAGCAGUAGCAGCAGUAUUCACGGAGGAAGAGAACAAAUGAAGAUAUGACAUCACAGAUGCCAAGAGGUAAUGUGUAUUGCAGAAAUUUUCAAGAACAAAUAUGUAAAAGAGAAGAAACUAAAAUUACCAGUUACCCCAAUUACUCCAAGGGGCAGUGCUUGAAGAAAUGGAUAAACUUCGAGUAAUUCACACAAUAAGAAUGCACAAACUGAAUUUUCAACCUCAAAACAAAACCUGUCCAGUGAAGUAUGUUAAAUUCUGGUUAUCUGGUUGCCUACAUUUCUCCCAAUGUAUUUUCAAUUACCUAAAUCCGAGUUUGAAGUAAAAGUUCAUCCCUUCCGGGACAUCAGCCAUUUUUAUUUUCAUAUGCUCCCCUGGACUUGCCUGCAAAGUCUGUUGUUGCUAUCCCAGGCAUCACCCAGAACCACAAGUGCUGUGAGCCAGA